CCCCUAGAUGUUCUGGGCCGCACGCGCGCUACACUGAACAGUUCAACAAGUCUUAACCUUGGCCGAUAGGUCUGGGUAAUCUUUGAACGCUGUUCGUGAUUGGGAUAGACCUUUGCAAUUAUGGGUCUUCAACGAGGAAUUCCUAGUAAACGCAAGUCAUCAGCUUGCAUUGAUUACGUCCCUGCCCUUUGUACACACCGCCCCUCGCACCUACCGAUUGAAUGGUCCGGUGAAAUCUCGGGACGGCGGCUUGGUCGCUUGCGUCCGACUGCUGAAACUUGAUUAAACCAUAUCAUUUAGAGGAAGGUGAAGUCGUAACA
rnacentral:rRNA from 1 species